rnacentral:rRNA from 1 species
AGAGUUUGAUUAUGGCUCAGGACGAACGCUGGCGGCGUGCCUAACACAUGCAAGUCGAACGGGACUCAGCCCUUCGGGACUGAGUUUAGUGGCGAACGGGUGAGUAACGCGUGAGGAACCUGCCUUUCAGUGGGGGACAACAGUUGGAAACGACUGCUAAUACCGCAUAAUACUUUCGAGCGGCAUCGUUUGAAAGUCAAAGAUUUAUUGCUGAAAGAUGGCCUCGCGUCUGAUUAGCUAGUUGGUGGGGUAACGGCCCACCAAGGCGACGAUCAGUAGCCGGUCUGAGAGGAUGAACGGCCACAUUGGGACUGAGAUACGGCCCAG